rnacentral:tRNA from 1 species
GGUUCCGUAGUGUAGCGGUUAUCACGUCUGCUUUACACGCAGAAGGCCCUGGGUUCGAGCCCCAGCGGAACCA